GCAAUAUAUUCAAAAAAAAAAAAAGAAGCAAAAGAAACAAAUAAAAAAGCAAUUUUCGAAGAGAAAAGAAAAAGAAAAAAAAGCAACUUCCAGUCGCCAACUUGGAGUUGUUGCUCUUGGUGCACAUACAAUUGAGUGCUUGGAAGACAAUUUUUGGUGCUCGCAAGAUGAAGACACAACCGCUACUGCAUGCAAGGCAUGUGAAGACAAAGCCUGUACAAUGGAUUCUGUGGGUUAAAUAGUGAGUCGACAAGAGAAAGAUGGAUGCUAUACAAAAGAGAAAAAGUAGGCAUAUGAAACAAUGAAACCAAAGAGAAUAUCAAAGGAGGAGAUACUUCGUCUAAUGGAGGAAAAGAAACAACUGAAAGAACAAGAGAAGCUGCUUACAGCUGCUUCAAAAGCCGAAGGUGCUGAGAUGAAAAAAUAUAAGGAGAUGCAGUAGUGGGAAAUGGGGAAAUAUACUCUAAAAGCCAUUGUAGGUGAAAUUGACAGAAAAGUGGUCGAAUUGGGAUCAAUUGGAGAUUUCUCAAGAUGCAUUUGGAGACGAGCAGAAGAAACAAAGAAAAAAAGGAAUAUCCGCAAAAAUUAAAGAAAGAAAAACAAACACAAGAAAGCUAUAUAUACAAAAAAAAAAAAGAAGAAAAAAAGAAAAAAAUGCAAUAUCUACAAGAGAUAAGAAAAAGAAAAAAGCAAUAUCCACUCGCUAACUGGAGUUGUUGUUCUGGAUACAGAGACAAUGGAGUGCUUGGAAAACAAUUUUUGCUGCUUGUAAGAUGAAGACACAACCUACGCUGUUGCUGCAUGCAAAGGUAGAGUUCUCUGAGUUAACAUAUGUGAAUAUUGCAACUUUUUAGUUUCAAGGUUCCAUCACGUAAAAGCUAUUGAUGAAGAGAAAUAACUUAUAGAAAGAGGAGAUAUUGAAUCUUAUUGCUCUAAAUCUAUUUGUGGUGCUGCAAGGAAUCAAUAGAGGUUCUUUCUCUUGUAUUUUGUUGUAUGUAUGAUCUGUCUAUUUUUAAUUUAUCAUAUUUAAGUGGGAGUAACUCUUCAUUCGAUGGACUCGCAAUCUUUGUCCAAAAGCAGUAAGUUCUGCGAUUUGUUCAAAAGCACUAAGUUCUGCGAAUUGUUCAAAAGCAGUAAGUUCUUCGAUCAUUUUGUGGCUUUACUUAAAAUAUAUUGCAUUUUCAUGUUAUCAUUUUAUUUUUGGAAGGUUGGUAAAUUUUUUAUGGCUUUACUUAAAAUAUAUUACAUUUUCCUUCCAGACAAACGAGUAACUCUACUGUAGUGUUUAGUGGGGAAAGCAUUUCGCCAAUAAUUCUAGUAAUUCGUUUUAAUCUAUUACUUUUUUAAUAGUUUUGUGUAUUCAAUGGGAUGUGAUCAUAUAAUAUGCUUGAAGAUAACACUUCCAUGCAUGCUCUUUCUCUCUUGUAUCUCGUCCGUCUGGUUAUCAUGAUAUUCAUCCAUUAAUAUAUCCUAAAAUGUAACUAAAUUUUGCACAAGUUAAUUCUCUGUAUUAAUAAACUUUUAUUCAUGCUCUGUGAAUACAUUUUGAUAAAUUUGGGUAUUUUAGUUAUAGAUUCUUUUUGUUACAUAUGGAUAAUUUGAUACAAAUGGUAACUCUAGUUCCUUAUUGCAUAUAUGAGUGAAAAACUGGAAUUAGUUUAGAGAUAUGGUAUACAAUGUCUGUUGGAAAUCUUAGCUUUUAGGUCGCUUUACUUAAAAUAUAUUAUAUUUUCCUACAAUCAUUUUCUCUUGCAAAGUUGGGUAAACUUUUGGUGGCUUUACUUAAAAUAUAAUACAUUUUCCUUUCAUUUUUUCUUGACAAAUGAAUAAGUGAUUUAGGUCAAUUUUGUUGUUUACUAAUUGUUAACUACAGUUUCUUUUUAUUUGCAUAUAUGAGUGAAAACGUGGAACUUAGUUUACAAAUAUAGUCUAAAAUGGUUGUCGGAAGUUUUUUAGCUUCUACUCUGCCAGUGAAUCCUUUUUGUCAAGUUAUUGUGACCUAAAUUCGGAGAGUUCUUCGGAUGAUUGUUAGUUGUUUAUCAUACCUCAUUUGCUUGUUGUGAAUGGUGGUACUAUGGUUGUGAUUCUUCACUCAAAUGUAUGCUUCUGAUUAUUAUAUACCCUAUUAAAAAACUAAACGUACUUGCCAACUUUAUCAGUAGUUUUAAAUUUCUUUCUUAAAGGUGAAGGUUAAGUUUAAAGACAUAAUGUAAUGAAAUAGGUAGAAUGUUAAGUAUCUUUGUCCUUGUUCUGAUAUUGUUGGUAGAGUUAUAACUUUUUUGUUUGUGGGUUUCAUCUUGUAAAGUUUUGAAGAAAAAAAAUAACGGUAGCUGUAGAAAGAGGGGAUAUUGAAUGUUAAUGCUCUAAAUCUAUUUGGGAAACUAUCCUCGAUAGAGGUUCUUUUGUUUACUUUGUUGUAUGACUAAUUGUUGCAAACUUGUAUUUGAUUGGGAGUACAUCUUCUGUUGGUGGACAUGCAAUUUUCCAAAAGCACCGGACACAAGUUCAGCGAUCAUUUUAUCUUGGUAAGGUCAGUAAAUGUUUUUAGUGGCUUUAGUUAAAAUAUAUUUACAUAUUCAUGGUAUCAUUUUCUCUUGGGGAAGUAGGUAAAAUUUUUGUUGGCUUUACUUAAAAUGUAUUACAUUUUACUUAUAUUUUUUCUUGACAAAUGAGUAACUGAUUUUUGUUUUCUACUGGUGUUUUGGGAUAGUUCAGGGAUGUGAUCAAAUGAAGGUUUUUCAAUGCAUUAUUAGGUAUUAAUUUAUUCUGUUUAUUCAUAAUUAUUGUGUGGUUAGUGA